UUACGGACAUACCAUGUGGAAACACCGGUUCCCGCGCAAUCACCGAAGUUAGGCAACGUCGAGUCUGUUCGGUACCUAGAUGGGUGACUGCUUUGGAAUACCAGAUGCU